GCAAAGAUGUUUUGACACAAGAAUAAGAGGUUCGACAAAGGGUAUACUGGGCUUCUUAUCAGUGGAAUUCCAGUUCUCCAGCGCGUGUGGUUCGUCAUAUCAAUCCCUUCAAAGUUCAAAGAGUGGGUGUGUGAAAGGAACAGUUGUGUACGUGACAUCUUACAGAUAGCCGGAUUAGCGAUAUCAAUUAGGGCUGGAUCACUUAUACCAGGACAAACAAAUACAUAAAAUGUCACUGGAAAGGCAAACUUCACUUCUGCACUGUGAACAUACCACAAUGCAGGAACUCACCUUCAAAAUGCCAUGCUGGGCAUUACUUAAGGAUUUUGAUGAACUUUUACCCUUUGAUGGCUUGUGCCCCCUGCAUCAUGAUAAACUGACAUAGUGUUUAUCACACACCUUUAGAUUUUUAACAUUUUUCCAUAUCACCUGUGAAGUCAUGAGGGUGACAUUUAAUUUCAUACUGCCCAAUAUGCUGUCAUAUUUACGAGUUCCUACAUGUACUUCAUUUUUGCACCCCCUUAGGCAAGAUUCAGCACCUCCAGUUAAAUGCCCAUUGAUUAUGACCACCCCUGUUACUUCCUUAAAUGGCACAAAGUCAUGCAAAGGCUUACCACAGCUUGAUAGCCUGUAUAAAUCACUUGUUAACUUAAAUUUGGAAUUAAUUUGCGAUCUCAAAUUUGAGAUAGUCACAUGUGGUGCAAAGCUUGAACAAUGUGACUUUCCUGAUAUAUCUACAACUAAAAUAGAUGCCACCAAUCUUGUCGACUUAAACAC